rnacentral:rRNA from 1 species
GACAGAGGUGCCGAGCGUUAGGCGGAAUCACUGGGCUUAAAGCGUGUGUAGGCGGGCGGGCAAGUACCUUGUGAAAUCCCACGGCUCAACCGUGGAACGGCUGGGUAUACUGCCUGUCUUGAGCCAACUAGGGCGAGCGGAACAGACGGUGGAGCGGUGAAAUGCGUAGAUAUCGUCUGGAACGCCAAAGGUGAAAACAGCUCGCUGGGUGUGGCUUGACGCUGAGACACGAAAGACCAGGGGAGCGAACGGG